AGCUCCAAUAGCGUAUAUUAAAGUUGUUGCAGUUAAAAAGCUCGUAGUUGAACUUCAGGCUUGGUCGGUGGUCUGCCUAACGGUAUGUACUGCUUGACUGAGCCUUACCUCUUGGUGAGCCGGCAUGUCCUUCACUGGAUGUGUCGGGGAACCAGGAUCUUUACCUUGAGAAAAUCAGAGUGUUCAAAGCAGGCCUAUGCCCGAAUGCAUUAGCAGGGAAUAAUAAAAUAGGACGUGUGUCUCUAUUUUGUUGGUUUCUAGUGACGCCGUAAUGAUUAAUAGGGACAGUUGGGGGCAUUAGUAUUCGGUUGCUAGAGGUGAAAUUCUUGGAUUUACCGAAGACUAACUACUGCGAAAGCAUUUGCCAAGGAUGUUUUCA
rnacentral:rRNA from 1 species